ACUGAAAAAGCGUGUGCGAGCAAGGAUGCCUAAAAUCCUGACUCAGUUACACCAGCUCUGUCAGGAGGAAUGGGCUAAAAUUCACGCAACUUAUUGUGGGAAGCAUGUGGAAGGCUACCCGACCCAAGAAAAAACAGUUUAAAAGCAAAACUACCAAAUACUAAUUGAGUGUAUAUAAACUUCUGACCCACUGGGAAUGUGAUGAAAGAAAUAAAAGCUGAAAUAAAUAAUUCUCUCUACUAUUAUUCUGACAUUUCACAUUCGUGAUCCUAAUUAAACUAAGACAGGGAAUUAAAUGUCAGGAAUUGUGAAAAACUGAGUUUAAAUGUAUUUGGCUAAGGUGUAUGUAAACUUCUGACAUCAACUGUAGUACUACUUCUCCACACCUUACCCCACCCGACCAUACCAAGCCCCAUAUGAACCUGUUCCAUCGGCUAAUCCUCCUCUUCAUCCAUCCACCCUACUGCCUCUAUGUAUCAUUAGAAAAACAUGUGUUUUCUAUUUUGUCAUCUUUAUCAUCAUAAAUGAUAUACCACAGGAGGCUGGGGAGGGGAGGACGGGUCAUAAUAAUGGCUGGAUUGGAACUCAUGUAAUGGUAUUAAAACACAUAGAAACCAUGUGUUUGAUGUGUCUGAUAAUUCCAUUCCAGCCAUUACCCACCAUUCUCACCAAUUAAGGUGCCACCAGCCUCCUGUGGGAGGAGGCAUUUUUAGUUCUGAGUCUAUUUCUGUUUCAUUGAUCUCAAGGUCUAUGUUGUUCCCCCAGUUGUGUGAUCUGUAGCAGGGGGAUGUCAUACUUUUCCUCUUUCACAAUCUCUCCCCCUCUGUCCCUCUGUCCCUCUGUCCGUCCCUCUGUCCGUCAGUCUGUCUGUCCGUCCGUCCGUCCGUCCGUCCGUCCGUCCGUCCGUCUGUCCGUCCGUCUGUCCGUCUGUUCGUCUGUCUGUCCGUCCGUCCAUUUGGCACUGUUAGAGACAAAUUAACAAACACAACCGUCUAAAAUCUGGAUGGUACAUUAUCUACUGUAAGCAUGAUAUCUAGGUUUUUCCUUCCUUUUCCCUUACUGUCUACCUUCCUUCAAUCCCAUUGACCUAGUCUGUCUCUCACUGCCUUUGACUGGUGUCUGUUUGCAUGUUUUUCACUGGAUAGUUACAGUGCUUGUCAGGCUAUGAAGUUGAUUGGUCAAAUCAGAGCAUGCCUUUACAUUGGGAGAAUAGUCCUACUUUUGGUGCCUUUGUUAUGGCAGUAGAGGUCAUAUCAGGAUCAGGGAGACUUUGGCCUUGAUCACAAGAGGUUGGUGAGAGGAGGACAGUGCAUAAUAAUGACUGGAAUGAAGUAAUUGCAAUGGUCAAUACCAUUCCAUUCCAUCCAUUACUAUGAGUCCAUCCUCCCCAAUUAAGGUGCCACUAGACGCCUGUGGUCUAGAUUCAAUCAUGUCAAACGUUAACUGGCUAUAGCUGACACCCGCAUAAAUCACCCGCAGAUUUUAUUGGUCACAUAAACAUAUUUAGCAGAUGUUAUUGUGGGUGUAUCGAAAUACCUGUGUUCCUAGCUCCAACAUUGCAGUAGUAUCUAACAAUUCACAAUAAUACACACAAAUACAAAAGUAAAAGAAUGGAAUUAAGAAAUAUAUAAAUAUUAGGACGAGCAAUGUCAGAGUGGCUUUGACUAAAAUAAAGUGGAAUACAAUACAGCAUAUACAUAUGAAAUUAGUAAAGCAGUAUUUAAACAUUAUUCAAGAAGCCAGUAAUUCCAUGUCUAUGUAUAUAGUGCAGCAGCCUGUAAGGUGCAGGGAUGAGUAACCGGGUGGUAGCUGAUGCUUUGGUGGUGUCAGAGGGUUAACUGCGUUGGAGCUGUCAAAACAGAGUGGCUGCUGGUCAUUGUCAGGAAGACCCACCCAUCCCACUCCCGUUAGAAGUUCAGAAGAAGAAAGUGUAUUAUAUAUAGAAAUAAUGAUGCUGAAAUCAUGAGGGUUUCUAUCAUCCUAAUGGUGUAGAUUACAUCUCACAUUCCAGUGUUAGAACUUGUAAACAAAGCUGCAAGGGAUUUCUCUUAAUGUGACUCCAUGCAGCCAAUGGCAACGUCCGCUUGAGGUAUAAUGCCAGGAGCCGCUUGUGGAUUUGAUAGCUCUAAUGCAGUUCCACCUCCAACACCACCAGUACAACUGCUAUGAGGGUGUCGGCUAGCACAGAUCUGAUAGAAUUUAGCCCUUAGUUUAAGAGAUGAGGCUAUCGACAUUCAGACAGUUUUUCUGGAUUCCUUCUCUUUCUUCCUGUCUCUUUCUCUUUUUUGAAGGUAUUUGUCUUUGUGUGCUAACCCCUUUCAAAUUGGACUUUAGCUUUGUACACACACAUACAGUACAUUUAAAGACAUAAGCUCUAAAGUUUCUCCUAUAAUGUCAAGAUAGUGUUUUAGUGUCUUGGUACUUUGUCUUAUCUACCCAGUAGAUACAGAUUGUAUUCCUGUGUUUUAGAUGUUACUCCAUAGUGCUGGUGUCUUUUUUUGUACAAGUAUAAUGAAUUACUUGGCAGGCCAGUAGUGAUCUGUUAUUGCGCUUUAAAGAAAAAAGAAAAUUGAGAGAAAAAAAUAUGAAAGAUACACAGUACCAGUCAAAAGUUUGGACUCCCCUACUCAUUCAAGGGUUUUUCUGUAUUUUUAUUAUUUUCUACAUUGAGGAAUAACAUGAAGCAGGUUGAGAGAAUGCCAAGAGUGUGCAAAGCUGUCACCAAGGCAAAGGACGACUACAAGAAUUUAAAAUCUAUUUAGAUUUGUUUAACACUUUUUUGGUUAUUACAUGAUUCCAUAUGGGUUUCACAGUUUUAAUUUUUGUUCUAGUUUUUUGUUUUUAGUUGAAUGAGUAGGUGUGUCCAAACUUUUGACAGGUACUGUAUAAUUUUGAAUAUUGUAAACAAAUGAAAUUGACACAGUAAUCUCUUUCAACAGUAUCUAAAAAGGUGAUGGUGCUUUAUAGAUAUAACCAUCUAGCAUUUGUAGAGGAAUCUUUAUAUGUUUAUUGGAUCCACUUUUAUUAACACUGUAUUUUGAUGCUGUUGUUUAUUUUUCUUGCUGACAUUGUCUUUAAAGGUGAUUUAUAGCUCCAACAGGAUUGGGAUAGUGACACAUUUGUUGUUGUUUCAGCUCUGUAAUCCAGCACUUUGGAUUUGAUAUAUUGUAUAAUAUAAUGAGGUCAAAAUGCAGACUGUCAGCUUCAAUUUGAGGGUAUUUUUAUCCAUAUUGGGUGAACCGUUUAGGAAUUACAGCACUAGUUGUGCAAAGUUACAGACGCUCAAAUAUCAAACCCCCUCAAAAUGAUAACCUCCCCUUUUAUUUUAAUGUGAGAGGUUAGCAUGUCUUGCAGGUAUGAUAUUUGUGCAUCUGGAACUUUCCCACUCAUCAUUAUUCACAAUGAAUUCAGUUCCACAUUAAUGUAGAAGUGUUUAGAAACACAUUUUAUAAUUAUUUACAAUGUGACCAAAAUGACACAGUACAUUAUUUAGCAUUAACUUCUAUUGUGCACAAAAUACUCUGAAACUCAACCAAAAUAAAGAGCAAAUGCAUCCAACAAUGCGUGCUAGGAAUAUGGGACCAAAUAUUUAACUUUUGACUACUUUAAUACUGCCCUACCAAGCAAAAAGGUAGUAACUGCUCAUAGCGUGGAACUGAGAAGAAUUGCUUUUAUUUAUUUACCUUGGUUUACUUUGUGCAGUUACUGCUAACAUGACCCCCAUUUUCUCCAAAACACAAUACAAUAGAGGCAGGAUACUUGUUCACAUGAUUAAGCAUGUAUUUAAUGUUGCAAAAAUUACAUGAACUCUUUGCUUGGUAGGGCACCAUACACAUAAGUGAAUUUGCCCCCAAACUUUUGGUCAAAUAAAAUGGGGGGACUAUGUACAAAAAGUGCUGUAAUUCCUAAACGGUUCAACCGAUAUGGAUGAAAUACCCUCAAAUUAAGCUGACAGUCUGCAGUUUAACAUCAAAGUCAUUGUAUUGUUUUAAAAUCCAAAGUGCUGGAGUACAGAGACAGAAUAACAACAACAAAUGCACUGUCCCAAUACUUUGAGCUCACUGUAAUUUGCCUUAACAUUGCCUUAAGGUUAUCUCAAUGUUGACUCAGCCCAGUGUUAUGCCCUUCAAAUGCACAGAUUGUCUCUGUAAACAUAGACGUCCAAUAAAACCCACACUAUACAAAUCCUGAUGUUUAGCUUGGCGAGCCCUAGCUUAAGAUCCGAUAUGUUGACUAUAUGUAAUUAUGUUGAGUAUAUGUCAUUAGUCCAGUGUAGACCUCCCCUAGUUGUGAUAACGAGAGAUGUUUUGAGGAGACUAUUCUAGAAGGAUAAAGAAUCUGAUUCACUACGUCGACCUACAGAUGUGGUCAAAUAUAUUGGCACCUGAGUGCAAUGGAGCAGAAUGUUGAAUGGCUAUUUUUACCCUGUAGGCACCUGCAACUUACCACAGGUUAAUAAAUGACACAGUAAUUGAGAAUCAUGCCUCCAACCAAAUUAUACUGAACAAAAAUAUAAACGUCAAAUGAAAGAUUUCACUGAGUUACAGUUCAUAUAGGAAAUCAGUCAAUUGAACCAAAUGAAUCAGGCCCUAAUCUAUUUAUUUCACAUGACUGGGAAUAUAGAUAUGCAUAUGUUGCUCACAUAUACUUUUUUUUUUAAAGUUGGGCGUGGAUCAGAAAACCAGUCAGUGUCUUGCCUCAUGCAGCGUGACACACAUCCUUUUCAAAGUUGAAUCAGGCUGUUGGUUGUGGCCUGUGGAAUGUUGUCCCACUCCUCUUCAGUGGCUGUGUGAAGUUGUUGGAUAUUGGAGGGAACUGGAACACGCUGUCGUACACGUCAAUCCAGAGCAUCUAAAACAUUCUCAAUAGGUGACAUGACUGGUGACUAUGCAAGCCAUGGAUGAACGUGGACAUUUUCAGCUUCCAGGAAUUGUGCACAGAUCCUUGUGAAAUGGGGCUGUGCAUUAUCAUGCUGAAACAAGAGGUGAUGGCAGCGGAUGAAUGGCACGACCAUCGUUCUCAGGAUUUCAUGUGGGUUUGGGUAGUUCAAUAAUAAGAGGCUGUAAUGUGGUGCAGAGGGUGUUAAUCAGUGAGGGUGAUAUGUCUGUCCUACAUUGGUCCAACAUCAUUUAAUUGAAAUGAGGUGGAAACAAUUUUGAUUCAACCAGUGUGCCCCCAGUGUGUGAGAACUUUAACGACCAACCGUCAAUAUCAAAUACUCAGGCACUUCCCUUGACCUCUUGGUAGCAUAUGUUUUGUCAAUACCAAUAGAGGCUGCUGAGGGGAGGACGGAUCAUAAUAAUGGCUGGAACGGAGUGAAUGGAAUGGCAUAAAACACAUGGAAAUCAUUGGUUUGGUGUUUUUGAUACCUUUCCACAUAUUCCGCUCCAGCCAUUACCACGUGCCCGCCUUCCCCAAUUAAGGUGCCACCAACCUCCUAUGGUCGAUACACAAAUAUCAAAAUCAAAACGGUUGAACCUCAGAUUAUUUCUGUGUUAGACUCAGUAAUUGUUACGUGUAGAGCAAUGGGUGGCAGAAACCUGUUGAAACCUUUUGGGACCUGUUGGGACCUGUUGGAACAAAUGGUGAUAGAGCUAUAAGACAGUGACAGAAGUAAGACGGAGAGCUGAGGGACAGAUAGAGAGGGACUGUGGUGCUGAACUGUGACUGACAUUUAGAGAGAUGGACUGUGGUGCUGAACUGUGACUGACAUAUAGAGAGGGACUGUGGUGCUGAACUGUGACUGACAUAUAGAGAGGGACUGUGGUGCUGAACUGUGACUGACAUAUAGAGAGGGACUGUGGUGCUGAACUGUGACUGACAUAUAGAGAGAUGGACUGUGGUGCUGAACUGUGACUGACAUAUAGAGAGAUGGACUGUGGUGCUGAACUGUGACUGACAUAUAGAGAGGGACUGUGGUGCUGAACUGUGACUGACAUAUAGAGAGGGACUGUGGUGCUGAACUGUGACUGACAUAUAGAGAGAGGGACUGUGGUGCUGAACUGUGACUGAUGCACUUAUCUCUCCACGCUACUUCACACAUUAUUCAGCUCGUCGCUUUCUCUCACUCCCUCUCUCUCAUCCUCUCUCUUUCCCUCCCUCCCUCCCUCUCUCCCUCCCUCUCUCUCAUCCUCUAUCUUUCUCUCCCUCUCCCUCCCUCUGUCAUACUCUCUCUUUCCCUCCCUCUCUCCCUCCCGCUCUCUUUCCCUCCCACGUUCAAUUUUAGGAUCAGCCCUGUCAAGUUUAGCUAUUCUGUCAACCUUAGAACAUUUUAGACAAAAUAUUGUUUCCACUGUUAAUGGAAAUAUAGACACCGUGAGUUCCUCCAAAGACAUGAGAAAAUAAGCUCCUUGUUGUCGUUGAGCCAAAGUGAAUGGAAUGUGGAACGUUUUCUUAAAUUAGCCAUGUUCCAUAUAAAUAAACACAAGGAUAAAAUUAUGGGAUGUAUAAUUUCAUAUAUUUAUUUAUUCUAUGGGAAUGAGGGGGAGGAGGAGUACAUAAAUGAGUUACCGAUAGUUAGAUCAGACCACUCCGUUAGCCGAAACAUUUCUGGUGUUGGUCCCUAUAUGCACAAAUAUGCAGUAUUUAACAGAUAAAAGCAAGAAGAAUUCCAUGCUUUGCAUUUGUGAUUUUGAACUUCUUUGAGUUAAAAUCUCUUGUUAUUACUUGAAUUUUAAGCGAUAGAAAAGCCAAAGUAAGAUAAAGAUAAAGUUCUCCACCUUGCAGGCCAUGCUCCUGUUCCUGACGGAGAUGAGUCAAGGCUGAGAUGUCAGAUAGAACUGCAGAUGUGAUUUGGCCUUAAUUGAGUUCCGGUCACAAAAUAACUGCAGAAACAAGGCGUAGCACCAGUACUAGCUGUAGCUACUGUGACACUUCAAGGGCCAAAAAACAACAUUUAGCAAUAUGAAUAAUUGAACAAUCUCAGUUCUCAUCCUCUUUAAAGGCAAUAUCAGCAUUCUAGGCUACUAAAUAUAAUGAGGGUUGUUUUUUCUGCUUUUAUCCAUUACAUUUUUGUAUGUCUUAGUUAUUUUAGAUGAUCCUAUGAUUUAUAUAGAAUUCAUUAUAUUGUUAUUAUUUUUGUUAUUACUGUAUAGGGAAUUUAACCCAAUAAGAUGUCUUUCUGCACUGAUUUCUUAUUAAAGUGUACUGAUCUGCCA